rnacentral:rRNA from 1 species
UACAGAGGUCUCAAGCGUUGUUCGGAAUUAUUGGGCGUAAAGAGCGUGUAGGCGGCCUGAAAGGUCAGCUGUGAAAACUCGAGGCUCAACCUCGAGACGUCGGUUGAAACCAUCUGGCUAGAGUCCGGAAGAGGAGAGUGGAAUUCCCGGUGUAGCGGUGAAAUGCGCAGAUAUCGGGAAGAACACCCGUGGCGAAGGCGGCUCUCUGGGACGGUACUGACGCUGAGACGCGAAAGCGUGGGGAGCGAACAGG